UAGAUAGAUAGAUAGAUAGAGUAGAUAGAUAAAACAUGGAUGGGUGGAUAUAUAGAUAGAUGGAUAGAAGGUGGAUAGAUAGAAGGUGGGUGGAUAGAUAGAUACUAUAGAUAGAUAAAAGAUGAAUGGGUGGAUAGGUAGAUAUGGAUAGAUAGAUAGAUGGAUAGAAGGUGGAUAGAUAGAAGGUGGGUGGAUAGAUAGAUACUGUAGAUAGAUA